ACGUAGGUGGCGAGCGUUGUCCGGAAUUAUUGGGCGUAAAGAGCAUGUAGGCGGUUUUUUAAGUCUGGAGUGGAAAUGCGGGGCUCAACCCCGUAUGGCUCUGGAUACUGGAAGACUUGAGUGCAGGAGAGGAAAGGGGAAUUCCCAGUGUAGCGGUGAAAUGCGUAGAUAUUGGGAGGAACACCAGUGGCGAAGGCGCCUUUCUGGACUGUGUCUGACGCUGAGAUGCGAAAGCCAGGGUAGCGAACGG
rnacentral:rRNA from 1 species